GGCCCUUGGGCAAACUCCUUAAACUCCAACUUGCUCCCAGUGUGCAGUUGAGCGCCUUGUAUGGCAGCACCCUGACAUCGGGGUGAAUGUG